GCUGUAUUUAAAAAGUCUUGAUACACAAUGUUAGUUCCCUCGCUGUCUUUGUGCUGCACUGGAUCGACAAAUAAGAAGACAUACCUUUAGUAACCUUCCCAGGUGGAAAAAGUUUGAAAAGGGAAUAGGCUGUAAAGAAAUAUAGGUGUUUUGCCUAAAAAGAUAUAUAGCUCACUAUCACCCAAGGAAUAAUGGAUUCCGGCAGAGGAGGAAGAAGAAUUGAAGAGAUGCUCUUCUAGG